rnacentral:rRNA from 1 species
UACAGAGGUCCCAAGCGUUGUUCGGAUUCAUUGGGCGUAAAGGGUGCGUAGGCGGCGCGGUAAGUCGGGUGUGAAAUCUCGGAGCUUAACUCCGAAACUGCAUUCGAUACUGCCGGUGCUUGAGGACUGGAGAGGAGACUGGAAUUUACGGGUGUAAGCGGUGAAAUGCGUAGAUAUCGGGAGGAACACCAGUGGCGAAGGCGACUGACCUUGGCCUGUUCGUU